AUGCAUCUUUUUGACACGCCUGGAGCAGUUACUGCCUGCUACGAAGUUUUCCGUUCCAGAUGCAAGAAAAAAGUGGCCUCGCGCUUUCUGCCUGUCCGGUUGUGGCAGCCCAGAUUGAACAGGGGAAUACAGGG
ensembl:snoRNA